rnacentral:lncRNA from 1 species
GACAUCAGGCCACGAUGGGUCUUCGUCCUUUGAGUUGGGGACAUCGGGGACGUUGGGGACGUUGGGGACAUCAGGCCAUGAUGGGUCUUGGUCCUUUGGAUUUGGGACGUUGGGGACAUUGGGGACAUUGGGGACAUCGAGGACAUCAGGCCACGAUGGGUCUUCGUCCUUUGGGUUGGGGACAUCUGGAAUGUUGGGGACAUCAUGGAUGUUGAUGACGUUGGGGACAUCAGGCCAUGAUGGGUCUUGGUCCUUUGGGUUGGGGACGUUGGGGACAUCGAGGACAUCAGGCCAUGACGGGUCUCAGUCCUUCAGGUUGGGGACAUCGGGGACAUCGUUGGGCCAUGAUGGGUCUUCGUCCUUUGAGUUGGGGACAUCUGGAAUGUUGGGGACAUCAUGGAUGUUGAUGACGUUGGGGACAUCAGGC